CAGGGAUUGCCCUAGUAACGGCGAGUGAAGCGGCAACAGCUCAAAUUUGAAAUCUGGCGUCUUUGGCGUCCGAGUUGUAAUUUGCAGAGGGCGCUUUGGCAUUGGCAGCGGUCCAAGUUCCUUGGAACAGGACGUCACAGAGGGUGAGAAUCCCGUACGUGGUCGCUAGCCUUUACCGUGUAAAGCCCCUUCGACGAGUCGAGUUGUUUGGGAAUGCAGCUCUAAAUGGGAGGUAAAUUUCUUCUAAAGCUAAAUACUGGCCAGAGACCGAUAGCGCACAAGUAGAGUGAUCGAAAGAUGAAAAGCACUUUGGAAAGAGAGUUAAAAAGCACGUGAAAUUGUUGAAAGGGAAGCGCUUGCAGCCAGACUUGCCUGUAGUUGCUCAUCCGGGUUUCUACCCGGUGCACUCUUCUAUAGGCAGGCCAGCAUCAGUUUGGGCGGUUGGAUAAAGGUCUCUGUCAUGUACCUCUCUUCGGGGAGAACUUAUAGGGGAGACGACAUGCAACCAGCCUGGACUGAGGUCCGCGCAUCUGCUAGGAUGCUGGCGUAAUGGCUGUAAGCGGCCCGUCUUGAAACACGGACCAAGGAGUCUAACAUCUAUGCGAGUGUUUGGGUGUCAAGCCCGAGCGCGUAAUGAAAGUGAACGGAGGUGGGAACCUUUCGGGGUGCACCAUCGACCGAUCCUGAUGUCUUCGGAUGGAUUUGAGUAAGAGCAUAGCUGUUGGGACCCGAAAGAUGGUGAACUAUGCUUGAAUAGGGUGAAGCCAGAGGAAACUCUGGUGGAGGCUCGCAGCGGUUCUGACGUGCAAAUCGAUCGUCAAAUUUGGGCAUAGGGGCGAAAGACUAAUCG
rnacentral:rRNA from 1 species